CCUUGCAGUUUGAUCUCAGACUGCUGUGCUAGCAAUCAGCGAGACUCCGUGGGCGUAGGACCCUCCGAGCCAGGUGCGGGAUGUAAUCUCGUGGUGGGCCGUUUUUUAAGCCCGUCGGAAAAGCGCAGUAUUCGGGUGGGAGUGACCCGAUUUUCCAGGUGCCGUCCGUCACCCCUUUCUUUGACUAGGAAAGGGAACUCCCUGACCCCUUGCGCUUCCCUAGUGAGGCAAUGCCUCGCCCUGCUUCGGCUUGCGCACGGUGCGCGCACCCACUGACCUGCGCCCACUGUCUGGCACUCCCUAGUGAGAUGAACCCGGUACCUCAGAUGGAAAUGCAGAAAUCACCUGUCUUCUGCGACGCUCACACUGGGAGCUGUAGACCGGAGCUGUUCCUAUUCGGCCAUCUUGGCUCCUCCCCAGGAAAAAAUUUCUUAAAGUUGUUUUCUCCACUUUUCUGAUGCUGAUCAAAUUUGAAUUCCCACAUCAUAUUUAUGUAUCUCAAGUAUAUUUGACAAACAGAUGCUGUACUGUAUCUCAGGCCUCUUGCCCAACAAAAUGGUGAACAAGACUCCACCUACUUCAAGGAUUGGGAGAAUAGAGAGUGGAAUGGGAACAACUGGUCUAUCAAUGAGAAGAAAGUGCCAACUGAAAACUUUUAGAAAAUACCCAGUUUACUCAAGGAAAAUAACAUGCAUUGAAGGUGAUUGCUCAAUAGAGAGAAGUUGAAACAGCAGACUAAUUGCCUGUUUGUGACACCCAUGUAAUCAACUUGGUCUGUUCUAGAUUAACAUUGCUAUGGUUUGAAUAUGUCCCCUCCAAAAGUUAUGUUGAAACUUAAUACCCAUUGUGGCGGUAUUAAGAGGAGGGCCUUUGGGGAAGUGAUUACGUCAUGAGGGCUCUGCCCUCAUGAAUGGAUUAAAAUCCUCAUAGAAGAAGCUUCAGAGAGAGCUUUGUCAUUUUUGCCCUUUCACCUUUGGCCAUGUGAGGACGCAGCAAAGAAGCCCUCGUCAGAUACCGACUGCUGGUUCCUUGACCUUGGACUUUCCAGCCUCCAGAACUGUGAGAAAUAAAUUUUUGUGGUUUACAAAUUACCA
rnacentral:lncRNA from 10 species